UUCAACAAUGAGACCAAUGUUGAGGAAGGUGGUUUUGAUCGCGCAGUUGGACUGCGACCAGCCCCGCCGAAAGUGUGGGUCUAGAGAUGGUUGAAGUCCCGAAAGCAUGCAGGGGAGUUCCACUGUCUCAUUCAAGAGCUUCAACUAUUUCGAGAAGAAUUUCGAAGUUACUUUUGUCUGAACCGAAGCGAGUUCGAUCACCUGCUCAAGGUGGUUGGAGCCAGGAUCGCCCGGGUGGAUACCAACUACCGGGAGUCAAUUACCCUAGUUGAAUGCCCGAUUUGUCUCCGAUUCUUGGUGACAGGGAACUCCUACAGGACCAUUGGAUUCAGCUUUGGAGUUGGAUGGUCCACGGUGGCAGGCAUUGUCCCCUCUGUGCCACAAGCCAUUUGGGACUGUCUGGAGAGGUGGAAUUUCCCCAACUGUCUUGGCUCCAUUGCUGGGAAACAUGAAGUAAUCCAGGCUCCAACGUGCUCAGAUUCUCAAUUCUACAACUACAAGGGUACAUAUGAAUUUGUACUCUUGGCUGUUGUAGAUGCCUUCUAAUGUUUCCGUUUCGUCGAUGUUGGUGCUUAUGGCAAGGGAAGUGAUGGCGGGACCCUCCGGGACUCUACCUUCGGCCAGGCACUUCAGGAUGGCACAUUGGAGAUUCCACCUCCUGCAUCACUCCCUGGGGUUGAAGACCUGGGACCCGUUUCACACGUCUUCGCCGGCGAUGAUGCCUUCCCUUGAGACCCAACCUCAUAAGGCCCUACGUUGGACGUCAGCUGCCAUUGCCAACGCUUGUAAGGAUCUAUAACAAACGACUAUCCAGGGAAAGGUCAUUCCAGGAGCCGCUCCGGAUGGAGAUAGGCACGCCAAAUGGUCACCUUCCUGAUGUCACCAGGGCAGGUGCCAACAACGCCCCCAGACAGGCACUCCAGGUGAGGGAGAAGCUGACCACCUACUUCUCAUCGCCAGCAGGUGAAGUCCCAUGGCAGUAUGCCGUGGAGUGAAACGGCUCUUUUAAGAGCCCCAUAACACAAAGGUUAUUUUAAGAACCAUCCACCGUUGUCCAUAAAAUUGCAUUUUCCCCCAGAUUACUUUAUGUAUCAAUGUCUCUCUUCAUUUGGAAGCUAUAUUUAAGUGAAAUUUGUGAUUAAAGACCACCACACCUUAACCCCUUCCCUCUCCCACUAACGUCAGUAUUAUACACACCUGGCAUGGUACACCAGGUGAG